rnacentral:tRNA from 1 species
UCCGUCGACUUUAAAAGUCGUGAGGGUUCAAGUCCCUCUAUCCCCAA